UGCUAUGUUUGCUACCAGUAAAUCUCUUCCAGUUGUUAUAAUGAAUAUAUAUAGUUUUAGGAAAUAAUAGGUUCCAAUAUCAUUAUCUCUUUAAACUCUAUUUCUGUUAGUACACUAUCUUUUAUUACUUACCUACUACAAAAGCUUUGAUGUAAUUCACUGUAAUUUUUGGUGGCUAUAUCUGAAGUACUUAUUGAACCCAUUUGGGUUCUAAUCAAUUUAAAAUACUAUCUUCGUCUUAUGUUUGUAAUAAUUGUACUACAUAUUAACUUCUUAUGCAUCUUUGUACCUCUCAAUAGUGUGUCAGUAUAUUAUUUGCUCACAGGUGUAAAACUUGGCUUAGACAAGUUGGAAAAGAAGAUCUCAUUCACGUACCCAUUGAAAAAUUGCAUGAGCUUCGUCAUGUUUGUGGUGACCACUUUGACCGGAGAGACUUUGGGAAGACAGGAAAUAAGCAUAAAAAAUAGCCUAUCCAAAGUUAAAUCUUUCUGCACCUCCACUGUCAGAACAUCAAUUAACAGGAUUCCCUCAACAUGUUGCAAGUAGACAAGGUGCACACCAGAGCCAUGCACCUUUACAUGCCAGGAUACCUCUCUCGACAUCUAGCACUGAAAAUGCUUUGGUACCAGCGAGACGCGGAUCUAGUGAUACUCUAGUUCUUACUCUAGCACCACCUAUAUUCUGUCAACUCCAUCUUGUGAGAGGGACGAGAUCGCGGCGACGACGUCGCGGAGCUCGUGCCCCUCAGUAUCCUGCAGGAGGACACUGGCUUCUAUGAGUACAUGUUUAAAAGUAAUUGCCUCUUUGGUACCAGCGCAACGCUCCCCGUCUUGCUGACAACCUGGAUCUAGUGAUACUCUAGUUCUUACUUCUGAUAAUCGAAAAACGAAGCAAGCAAAUCACAAGACUGAUGAUUACAAUACAACGAAGAAAGCAUUGCUGAAGAAGCUCAAGAAAGUGAAAACGAGUUUACUUUAUAAGUUUUUGCCUAAUAAGUAGGACUUUAACUAGACAAAUUGAUUUUUAUAAAUCCAUCUUUACAACAUGGUAUCUAUGCUUACCAUAGGGUGUACAGAUGAAGUAGGAUGAGUGAUUUAGUAAGCCUAAUAAAAAAGUAACCCGGAACUGCCAUAACUAAUUAAUUACUAAUUACUUGGAAGUUAGAAUACAGAUUCAGGAUCAUUUAUAUCUUGUUGAAAAUUAACAUAUUUUAUAUCUGGGAGACCGAGUUUUGAUCAUCAUCAUCAUCAUCAUUUUUUAUUCAAUAACAAUAUUACAUUGUGUUUGAAAAAUCUUAAAUCUAGGCACAUGCAUACAAAAAAUAUUUCAAAAACAAAUCGGAUCGGAACAGUGUUGGCCGAAAGUUAAUUGCAAUUAACCAUUGUUGGCUCGGAAAACAUAAAAACAAAAAAAAUGCACGUUUUCCCAGAGAUAAGACCUUGCUAGAACAAUUUUUCGCCCCCGAAAACCCCCAUAUAGCAAAUUUGAUCUAUAAAUAAAUAUUUAUAUACAAGAAUUGGUCGUUUAAAGGUAUACGAUAAGAUUAUGUUGAUCUCGGUCAUUGUCAAAAAUACUAAUACCACCAAAAACUUAUUCAUGUAAAAUGUUGCCAAGAUGAAAACAUUAGGCUCGCACUGUAAAAAAUCAAAAGGCAUUCAUUUCGUUAAAUAGUACAACAUAACACUCAUGGUUGGGACUUCUUAGUAAGUAUGAAUAAUGCCUGUGACAGGAAGCUGAGAGAACCCUGGAGCACUGUCCGUUUUUAGUCCCAUAAUAAUACUUCUAACCUCAACGGGGUCAGCGGGUAACAGUACAAAGGGUGUUGCUACAGAAUUUAUUAAAGUCUCGUUCUUAUUGGUUGUUACUUCUGGGGCUCUGUAAAAAAUAUCCUCUGCUAAUGAAAGGCAUUGGCAAGGCCAACAUCAGCAAAGAAAACAUUGACAUUUUACUGACUCGUUAGGAGUAUAUUUUGUAUUUAAUAGUUCUAUAUUUUGAGUUUAGCUUGGUGUGACAGAUUUAAUUGGGUUCCACAGAGAUUUGGAGUUUUAAGAUAAAGAUAAAUGUUUAUUUGCAAGAACGUAUGUACAUAAGUUACAAGAUGUUAGGGUGAUAAUUCGGGUUUGCAUUUACAUUCAAUUCAGCCAUUUAUUGGCGUGCAAAAUUCUUAGAACAUUGCAUUAAAUUAUCUCUUACUAAUUUUCGUUUUAGUUUUUUAAUUAGAUUAUUGUAAAAGUUGUAUAAGUCUCUCCAACUGUAAAAAAUUGAUUUAUUUAGUAUACAUUCUAAAUAAAUCAAUCGCGUCUAGACUUAAACUAGCAGUGUCAUGAACAGACCUCGGACAGAGUGAGCCAUUUUUACGUCAUUAAUGUCAAGUGUAGAUGUUAAUAUAGAUAUGCCUCAAGAUGAAAUAUUAAAAAGAAUUCAUGAAUAAUAAUUAAACAAAAAUGACAGUGCAUUAUGUACAAAACGAGUAAGUAUUAUUUAUUUAUUCAAAUUUUUCUUUGUUAUUGGUUAUUGUAAUAAAGAACUAUAAUUUU